CCCGCACAAGCAGUGGAGUAUGUGGUUUAAUUCGAAGCAACGCGAAGAACCUUACCAGGGCUUGACAUCCCUUGAAGCAGCUAGAGAUAGCUGUGUCCUUCGGGACAAGGAGACAGGUGGUGCAUGGUUGUCGUCAGCUCGUGUCGUGAGAUGUUGGGUUAAGUCCCGCAACGAGCGCAACCCCUACUGCCAGUUACUAACAGGUAAUGCUGAGGACUCUGGCGGAACUGCCGUUGACAAACGGAGGAAGGUGGGGAUGACGUCAAAUCAUCAUGCCCCUUAUGUUCUGGGCUACACACGUGCUACAAUGGCCGGUACAGACGGACGCAAAGCCGCGAGGUGGAGCAAAUCCUAAAAAGCCGGUCUCAGUUCGGAUUGCAGGCUGCAAUUCGCCUGCAUGAAGUCGGAAUCGCUAGUAAUCGCGGAUCAGCACGCCGCGGUGAAUACGUUCCCGGGCCUU
rnacentral:rRNA from 1 species